UUAAAAAGCUCGUAGUUGGAUUUUUAAGGGUGUCUGCUUCUAGUGACCUUUUGUGUCUCUUAAGUUGCAGACUCCCCUUAUUUUGCCUCAGUGCUCGGUUGGGAUUCACUUCUCGAUCGGGCUUCAGGGGCGUGGUUACUUUGAGAAAAUUAGAGUGUUCAAAACAGUCUUGUGAUUGUAUAUCAUAGCAUGGAAUAAUAACUGAUGACGUCGGUCAUUUUUUGUUGGUUCGGAUGGCUGAAGUAAUGAUUGAUAGAGUUAGUCGGAGGUAUUAGUAUUUUAUCGUUAGAGGUGAAAUUCAUGGAUCGGUAAAAGACUAACAACCGCGAAAGCAUUUAUCUAGGAUUUGCUCUUUGAUCAAGAACGAAAGUUGGGGGAUCGAAGACGAUCAGAUACCGUCGUAGUCUCAACUAUAAACUAUACCAGCUAGGGAUUGGUGGGCGUUGCUUGACCUCAUCAGAACCUUAUGAGAAAUCAAAGCAUUUGGGUUCCGGGGGGA
rnacentral:rRNA from 1 species